rnacentral:rRNA from 1 species
GACAGCAGUAGCCGCGGGAAUACAGAGGGUGCGAGCGUUAAUCGGAUUUACUGGGCGUAAAGCGUGCGUAGGCGGCUUCUUAAGUCGGAUGUAAAAUCCCUGAGCUUAACUUAGGAAUUGCAUUCGAUACUGGGAAGCUAGAGUAUGGGAGAGGAUGGUAGAAUUCCAGGUGUAGCGGUGAAAUGCGUAGAGAUCUGGAGGAAUACCGAUGGCGAAGGCAGCCAUCUGGCCUAAUACUGACGCUGAGGUACGAAAGCAUGGGGAGCAAACAGGAUUAGAUACCCCGGUAGUCCCUGUCUCUUAUAA